AAUAGAUACCCGGGUAGUCCACGCCGUAAACGAUGAGUGCUAAGUGUUAGAGGGUUUCCGCCCUUUAGUGCUGCAGCUAACGCAUUAAGCACUCCGCCUGGGGAGUACGGCCGCAAGGCUGAAACUCAAAGGAAUUGACGGGGGCCCGCACAAGCGGUGGAGCAUGUGGUUUAAUUCGAAGCAACGCGAAGAACCUUACCAGGUCUUGACAUCCUCUGACAACCCUAGAGAUAGGGCUUUCCCCCUUCGGGGGACAGAGUGACAGGUGGUGCAUGGUUGUCGUCAGCUCGUGUCGUGAGAUGUUGGGUUAAGUCCCGCAACGAGCGCAACCCUUGAUCUUAGUUACCAGCAUUCAGUUGGGCACUCUAAGGUGACUGCCGGUGACAAACCGGAGGAAGGUGGGGAUGACGUCAAAUCAUCAUGCCCCUUAUGACCUGGGCUACACACGUGCUACAAUGGAUGGUACAAAGGGCUGCAAACCUGCGAAGGUAAGCGAAUCCCAUAAAGCCAUUCUCAGUUCGGAUUGCAGG
rnacentral:rRNA from 1 species